rnacentral:rRNA from 1 species
UACGGGGGGGGUAAGCGUUGUUCGGAAUUACUGGGCGGAAAGGGCUCGUAGGCGGCCAACUAAGUCAGACGUGAAAUCCCUCAGCUUAACUGGGGAACUGCGUCUGAUACUGGAUGGCUUGGAUUCGGGAGAGGAAUGCGGAAUUCCAGGUGUAGCGGUGAAAUGCGUAGAUAUCUGGAGGAACACCGGCGGCGAAGGCGGCACUCUGGGCCGGUACUGACGCUGAGGAGCGAAAGCGUGGGUAGCAAACAGG